CUGGCGGCGCGUUCAACUCAUGCAAGAAAAACGAGAAAGUGGAGCAAUCCAUGAGUAAAGUGGCGACCGGUUUGACAACACGUGACUAACUUACCCUCGAGUGGGGGAUAACCCCGGGAAACCGGGGCUAAUACCGCAUAACAUCGAGAGAUCAAAGGAGCAAUCCGCUUGAGGAGAGGGUCGCGGCUGAUUAGCUAGUUGGUAGGGUAAUGGCCUACCAAGGCUGAGAUCGGUAGCCGGCCUGAGAGGGCGCACGGCCACACUGGAACUGAAACACGGUCCAGACUCCUACGGGAGGCAGCAGUGGG
rnacentral:rRNA from 1 species